AAUAGAUACCCUGGUAGUCCACGCCGUAAACGGUGGGCACUAGGUGUGGGCAACAUUCCACGUUGUCCGUGCCGCAGCUAACGCAUUAAGUGCCCCGCCUGGGGAGUACGGCCGCAAGGCUAAAACUCAAAGGAAUUGACGGGGGCCCGCACAAGCGGCGGAGCAUGUGGCUUAAUUCGACGCAACGCGAAGAACCUUACCAAGGCUUGACAUACACCGGAAACGGCCAGAGAUGGUCCGCCCCCUUGUGGUCGGUGUACAGGUGGUGCAGUGGCUGUCGUCAGCUCGUGUCGUGAGAUGGUUGGGUUAACGUCCCGCAACGAGCGCAACCCUUGUCCCGUGUUGCCAGCAGGCCCUUGUGGUGCUGGGGACUCACGGGAGACCGCCGGGGUCAACUCGGAGGAAGGUGGGGACGACGUCAAGUCAUCAUGCCCCUUAUGUCUUGGGCUGCACACGUGCUACAAUGGCCGGUACAAUGAGCUGCGAUACCGUGAGGUGAGCGAAUCUCAAAAAGCCGGUCUCAGUUCGGAUUGGGGUCUGC
rnacentral:rRNA from 1 species